ensembl:lncRNA
GCCGAAUUCCAGACGGCCAACACUAGAGCGAACAAGGGGUGGGUGGGGAGGGAAACCAGAGACGUUGGUCGGACCACCCUGGAAACUCUGGCGGGCGGCCUGGCGGGCGGCCAGACGAGCGGGGAGCCUCUGGGGGUCGGCCCGGCGGGCGGUCCUUUCGCCGGUUCCGGAGCGGUGACCACAGGGCACGGAACGUCUCAGGAAUGGCAGGCUCUGAGAAACGGGAAACGUCCGGGGUAGUAGUCGUCGUCGGCAGCUCGGGGACACGGGAAACGUCCGGGGUAGUCGUCGUCGUCGGCAGCUCGGGGACACGGGAAACGUCCGGGGUAGUAGUCGUCGUCGGCAGCUCGGGGACACGGGAAACGUCCGGGGUAGUAGUCGUCGUCGGCAGCUCGGGGACACGGGAAACGUCCGCAGUCUGCUCCAGCUCGGGGACACGGAACAACUCCGCAGUCUGCUCCAGCUCGGGGACACGGAACAACUCCGCAGUCUGCUCCAGCUCGGGGACACGGAACAACUCCGCUGUCUGCUCCAGCUCGGGGACACGGAACAACUCCGCUGUCUGCUCCAGCUCGGGGACACGGAACAACUCCCCAGUCUGCUCCAGCUCGGGGACACGGAACAACUCCCCAGUCUGCUCCAGCUCGGGGACACGGAACAACUCCCCAGUCUGCUCCAGCUCGGGGACACGGAACAACUCCCCAGUCUGCUCCAGCUCGGGGACAUGGAACAACUCCGUAGUCUGCGGCGGCUCAGCCCCCCCCAUAACCCACCCCAUAGCCCCCCCCUCAAGGGCCGGAUCCCAGACGGCCCUCAAAUCACCAACGGGAGGGUGGGAGAGGACCAUGGGAUGGGAGGGAGGGAGCCUGAGUCUCGGAGCGGGGACUGGGGGCGUCGGGGGCAUGGAGCGUGGGGCCGGUACUGGUCGGGGGCAUGGGUGAGAGUCGGGGCGGCCCAGCGGGAACGGGAGAUCGCUGCGGCGGCCCAGCGGGAACGGGAGAUCGCUGCGGCGGCCCAGCGGGAACGGGAGAUCGCUGCGGCGGCCCAGCGGGAACGGGAGAUCGCUGCGGCGGCCCAGCGGGAACGGGAGAUCGCUGCGGCGGCCCAGCGGGAACGGGAGAUCGCUUCUUCCGCUUGCUCCUCCUAGGGUUAAGGAGGUCCCGGAGCUCGAGGCAGGCGAGCUGAUAGCUCCUGGGACCAAAAACACAGUUUGUUUUCCGCUGCCAGAAGGGACUCCUUACGUCCAGGUAGUCCGGACCGUAGUCUGGCAGCGGGUCUGCUGAGCCCUUCUUUGGUCGCGUCAUUCUGUCAGGGUUGGGGGUGGAAGGCAGGACUCAGACGCAGACUUGCGGGAAACAAAAGACUUUAAUAGUCAAAAGGGUCAAAAACACAGGAACCGGGAGGAAAACCAGCAGGCGACAUGUGAGACGAAAGACAAUGACGCGACAAGUGACACAAGAGACACACGGCUUAAAUACACAAGGGAGGUGCAGGUGAUUGGACACAGGUGGAAACUAUUAGACGAACACAGGGGAUGACGAGACAAGGCAG